CAUGAAUGGGGGUAGGAAACGUGUAAAUACACAGAGGUAGUCCUAAGCAUAGACCUGCAGAAGGACUGAGAAUGACAUACCGUGGAGAAUAACAGAAUAGAAAGAGAGAACAUGGAGUGAAUGAAAAGAAAUUAUAAAGAGCAGGAGGUUACUGAAUGUGACCUGGUGCUAUAAUUAAUGUGAUGCAGGAAGAUUGGUUUGUGUGACAGCACGGCAGAAUCUGCUGCCACAGCUGCCUGCUGCUUAGAGGAUAUGUCUUCUUGACUCCCUCAGUUCCUGGCUCCCAGUCUCACUGCUUCCUAACACCGAGAGGUCAAAAUGGGAUAAAGGCAAAAACGCCCAGAAGACAACAACCUCACGUCUGUCAGAGCUGUAACAGCCACUACUGGUGUGCAGCAUGGAAAUAGAAUGUAUGGAGGUGGAUGGGGAGACCCAGCAGCAACCAGUUCAGUCAGGACCAGAAACUCCCCUGCAGGAGGCACCAGAUGAGCCAUUAAGUGAUUUUCCUCUGCCGAUUCAAAUGGAUCCAGCUGCUGUCAAUUUGGGGGAAGAUGCUGGAGUAUACAUGGAGUUUAUGUUGAAGAGCCCCUGCUAUGAUGCUAUUCCCACUAGCUGCAAACUUGUUGUGUUUGACACAACUCUACAGAUAAAGAAAGCAUUCUUGGCUCUGGUGGCUAAUGGGGUACGAGCAGCUGCUCUCUGGGACAGUAAAUUGCACUCCUUUGUGGGCAUGCUGACUAUUACAGACUUCAUAAAUAUCCUUCACAGAUAUUACAAGGCACCAUUGGUUCAAAUAUAUGAACUGGAGGAACAUAAGAUUGAAACAUGGAGAGAGGUUUAUUUGCAGAGCUGUUUUAAGCCACUGAUACAUAUAUCCCCUGGACACAGCCUCUUCCAUGCGGUGUAUUCACUAAUUAAAAACAAGAUCCAUCGCCUGCCUGUAAUAGAGCCAACGUCUGGGAACAUACUGCACAUCCUUACACACAAACGGCUGCUAAAAUUUGUGCACCUUUUUGGAGACACCAUACCUAGACCUCGCUUCAUGCAGAGAACCAUCCAGGAGCUGGGAAUUGGCACUUUUCGGGAUGUGGCAAUAGUGCAUGAUACCUCCACAAUUUAUAAUGCUCUGGAGGUCUUUGUGGAAAGAAGGGUGUCGGCUCUCCCUGUAGUAAAUGAAUCUGGUCGGGUGGUAGGGCUAUAUUCCCGCUUUGACGUCAUACACCUGGCAGCACAGAAGAUAUAUAACAAUCUAGAUAUAACCGUGGGCGAUGCUCUGCGGCUGCGCAGCCUAUGUCUGGAGGGUGUUCUUAUGUGUUAUCCCCAUGAAACCCUAGAAACUGUGAUUGACCGAAUAGUUAGAGAACAGGUUCAUCGUCUAGUGCUGGUGGAUGAAGAGCAUCGCCCCUGUGGAAUUGUGUCCUUGUCUGACAUUCUCCAGGCCCUGGUGUUAACUCCCGCAGGUAUUGAUGCCCUUAAUUCCUAACCGUGCGAAGGCUCUUUUCUACCUUCACCCUGCACCUCCUCUUCCUCUCUGAGGCACAGGUAUAGACCGUAAUACCUUGUGAUGGCACUGGCGGCCGGAGUGAACAGACAACCAAGUCUUCCAGGAUUUUCGGAGGCUCAGGGUAGUCGCUGUUGUCAAGAAGGGGAUGUAAGACAUUUUCAGUGCUUGAACCCUCCAGCAAAGGCGAGGAAACAAAUCAGUGAUACAAGGAAUAGCCACAUAUACCUUGAAUGCUGCUCUCCAUGGAUGGAGAUUUCAGAGAAUGUGAAUUCAGUGACUGUGGUAAAAACCGCAGCCAUUCAGUGACUUAUAUUCACCCUAGGAUCUGCGCUACAUAUUUGAAUACUUUUCUCAUUUCAGUAGCAAGAGCCUCUUCUUUCCUGCAAGCUGUGCCAGAGAUUUUGAAAGCAAGCCAGGCCCAAUCCUAAUGUAUCAGGCUACUACUGCUGUCUCCUGAGAACUGCUAACUUGCAUUUCUCCAAAUGUGAUACAAAUAGCCAUCUCUGCUCCCUCUUAUCUGCUCAUAAUCCUUCGGUUCCUCUUAUUACCACAAUUUCUUGUCUUACUGGAUGAAUGCAUCUGUCUUCUAUAUGACAAGUUUCCUUAAUACCCCUUUCCCACAUGUUCCAUGAUCUUCUACCAAAUCCUCCCCUUAAAGGGAUAGUAAAGUCCAGAUUAAACUUUCAUGAUUCAGAUAGCGCUUGCAUUUUUAAAAAAACUUUCUAAUUUACUUUUAUCAUCAAAUUUGCUUUGUUCUCUUGGUAUUCUAAGUUGAAAGCUAAACCUAGGUAGGCUCAUAUGCUAAUUUCUAAGCCCUUGAAGGCUGCCUCUUAUCUGAAUGCAUUUGACAGCUCUUCACAGCUAGAUGGCGUUAGUUUAUGUGUUUCAUAUAGAUAACAUUGUGCUCAUGCACGUGGAGUUAUUUAAGAGUCAGCACACAUUGCCUGAAAUACAAGUAUGUUAAAAGAUCUGAGAUAAGGAGACAGUUAGCAGAAGCUUAGAUACAAGGUAAUUACAGAGGUAAAAAGUUUAUUUCUAUGACAGUGUUGAUUAUGCAAAACUGGGGAAUGGUGAACAAAGGGAUUAUCUAUCUUUUUAAACAAUAACAUUUGUGAUGUUUACUAUCCCUUUAACAUCUUAUUUUUGUGUUUCCUAAGCCUUCCCCCCCCCCCCUCUUUACAUACGCCACACUAGCCCUCCCUUGCGAAAAGGGAACAUUCUAUACAAGUUAGUGCUUAUAGGAAUAUUUCAUCCUGUUUAUAAGGUAUGUGUUAUAGUAUAGAGGGUUUUAGCACCCAUGUGUUAGACUGUUCUUCAAGCACUGACUGAUUAGCAGCAUUAGGAAUUAGGGGCAUAGAGAUUUACCCAGUAAAACGUGUUAGUAGGGUGCUGCAUGUAGCUGUAUAAAAAAUACAGUAGAGAGAUAAUUUCAUAUUUUUACACUGAGUACAUUUGCUUUCAGUGUUUAUCUGUAUAUAUGUGUCUUUGUAUCUGUCUGUCUAUCAUCUAUUAUGUAAAUAGAUAUAAAUAUAGAUUUUUGUUUUUACUGUACAUGGAAGGGAGUCACUGCAGUCAGUGUCAGAACUGUAAUCCAUUCUCUGUUUAAGCAGAAGGUCUGCAUCUGUCACUGUCUGCAGCAGCCAUACUCUAUUUACAGUCAUCUAGUUGUGCAAUUUAUUUAAGAGGAUGCAGCUCCCUCUACUGGCUGUAUUUUGUAACAACCUGCUUGCUAAAUAAGAGAGACCGUUAAAGGGACAGUGUACUGUAAAUUUGUCUCCCUUUUAAUAUGUUCUGAAUAAUCAGUUUUAGCUGCUGGAGUGUAUUAAGUUGUUUACAAAUAACUCUAUUACCUUUAUUUUGUUAUUUUACCAGUUUUUCCUGUUGAAACCUCAUUCAAUACUAAAUUUUUUAAUUCUGUGGUAAUGGCUACAGAAAAGCUAUGUAAGAAAAUGGCAAAUCAAAGAAAUUGACCUCCCAGUGGGGGGUGGGAGAGAAAGCCCAGGCUUUUUUUAAGAAUGUUCAUGAACUAGUUUUAAAUACAAUAAAUCUGCUGCUUGCCUGAGUACACUGUCCCUUUAAACUUAAAUUUAAAAAAAAUCCAUAAAACAUUAAAACACUUUUUGAUGAAAAAGGUAAAGUGAAAGAUAUUUAAGUUCAUAUAGAAUCAAAACAGUAUAUUUGUGCACAGCAUUACCCCGAGGACAGAUAGCUUUAUAGCUGAUAAAGGCACCGCCAAAAGCUCUAUUGGUGGGAAGGGAUAGAAAGCAAGACAUAGUUUUAGUCUGUAGACGAUCGUCUGUCCAAAAUACAAAUAUUUUAAAUACGUUUUUAAAUAUCCUUCUUUUAAAGGGACAGUCUAGACCCAAUACAUAAUUUUGUUUGCUUAUUUUUACAUACCAGACAAGCAUCCUGAAACUGGUCCCACAUCUAUAAGCAUCUAUUAAUCUAUUUGUGAUUCUGAUAGAGCAUGCAAUUUUAAGCAACUUUCUAAUUUACUCCUAUUAUCAAUUUUUCUUCGUUCUCUUGCUAUCUUUAUUUGAAAAAGAAGUAAUCUAAGCUAAGGAACCAGCCAAUCUUUAGUUCAGACCCUGGACAGCACUCGUUUAUUGGUGGGGGAAUUUAUCCACCAAUCAGCAAGAACAACCCAGGUUGUUCACCAAAAAUGGGCAGGCAUCUAAACUUACAUUCUUGCUUUUCACAUAAAGAUACCAAGAGAAUGAAGAAAAUUUGAUAAUAGGAGUAAAUUAGAAAGUUGCAUGCUCUAUCUGAAUCACAUGGUGGCCAUGUUUGUUAGCAGCCAAAAAAUGGCCACCAAGCUCCGCCCACCUAUAUUUUGGUAUGUAAAGUUUCUCCAAUCACUAUUGACUCUUAAAUAUGUUUUCCUACUCACAUACGCUGAUUUGUUCAUGUGAAAUUUGAAAAAGGGACAUUGUACACUAGAUUUUUCUUUGCAUAAAUAUUUUGUAGAUGAUCCAUCCAGUGUUUCUGUAACAAUGUAUAGUUUUGCUUAUUUUUUAAUAACAUUGUGCUGAUUUUUAGGCUCCUAACCAAGCCCCAAAGUAUCAGAUGUAGAUGUCUACAGAUUUCUUCUUGCUCCUGUUAUUGUAAUGGUUCUUUUCAUAUGCAGUGGAGGGUCUGCUUUUCCUGCUUUCUCAGCCUCUUUCAGUGGGUGUCCCAGCCUAACCUCAUGCUAAUGUGCACUUCUAAACUGUUAUACAAGAAAACAGCUAACUGGACAAAAAAAAAAAGAUGUGGGCGGAGCUUGGUGGCCAUUUUUGGCUUUUAACAAACGAUCAUUAUUUAAAUGUUUCAUGUACUUCUUACAAGCUUAUAGAUGUGGAACCUGUUACAAGAUGCUUGUGUGGUAUGUAACAAUAACUACUAAAGAAUAAGUAUUGGGUCUAGACUGUCCCUUUAAGCAACUUUCCACUUUACUUAUAUUAGCAAUGUUGCUUAGUUCUCUUGGUAUCCUUUGUUAAAGAGUAAUCCUAAGUGAACUCAGGAGCGUGCAUGUGUCCUUAGAAAUCUGGCAGCAGCGUUUCCAAAAAAUGUAUAGCAAUGUUCUACAUAGUUGCAAACUCUGCUGCCACAGUGUCUGUAGCAUUCUUUGACAGCAGUGUUUGUAACUAUGUAUAACAUUGUUAUAAACAUUGUUGCAAACACUGCUGCCAGAUGGUUCAAACACAUGCACGCUCCUGAGCUUACCUAGGAUUAUUGUUUAUCAAAGGAUAGCAAGAGAAAUAAGCAAAUUUUAUGAUAGAAGUAAAUUGGAAAGUUGUUUAAAAUUGUAUUUCUAUUGGAUCCAUUUAAAGGGACAGUAAAGUAAAAAUUGAACUUUCAUGAUUCAGAUAGGGCAUGCAAUUUUAAACAACUUUACAAUUUACUUUUAUCAUCAAAUUUGCUUUGUUCUGUUGGUAUUCUUUGAUUUCUUAUUAGCUUUUCACAGCUAGUUUAUGUAUGUCAUAUAGAUAGCAUUGUGCUCGCUCCCGUGGAGUUAUGCAUGAGUCAUCACUAAAUGGCUGAAAUGCAAGUUUGUAAAAAGUACUAAGAUAAGUGGGCAGCCUACAGAGGCUUAAAUGAUAAAAGCCAAUCCUAGAGGAAAAAAGUAUAUUAAUAUGAUAGUGUUGGUUAUGCAAAACUGGGGAAUGGGUUAUAAAGGGAUUAUCUAUCUUUUUAAACAAUAAUAAUUGUCAGAUAUACUGUCCCUUUAAAUGUAAUUUUGAAUGUACUGUCCCUUUAAUGUUACACUGGGAUGUUACAUGCUCAUGUCACUAGCAGGUCUUUAGCUUGUGAGUUGUGUAACUGUUGAGCGGUUUCACUGAUCUGCUAGAUGGAAUGCUGUGUGUUCUGUACUCUUGGACAGCUCAAGAAAUAUUUAACAAAUAAAAACUACUUGUGCACUUUU